CUAAAUCUUAAGGGGCACUGGGCACCCUGGCCACUUCAGUUCAUUUAAGAGGUCUGGGUGCCAACUCCCAUCACCCUGCAAGUGUAAUUAUUGCAGUUUUUAUAAACUGCAAUAAUUACCAUGCAGGGUUAAGUCCUUCUCUAGUGAUUGUCUACCAGACAGGCACUAGUGACUUCCAGCUUUGCUAGUAUCCCCAUAGGAAAGCAUUGAAGUUUUGGGGCAUCCCUAGUUCCUUAGAGGAGAUAUAUAUAUUAAAAAAACACUGUCUGAUUAGAGAUAAGUUUGAUCGUGCAACCAAGAUGUCCAUUUCAGAGC